UCUUGAAUCUUCUUCCAUCUUUGUUUUCGGUUAUUUAGUCAUGUGUUGCAAGGUGGUGAUGAAGAUGAAAUCUGGUUUUGAGGGAGAAAAUAAAGAGGGUGAGAGCCAAGCUAUAGAAAUCGCACUUACUGGUUUUGAUAUUUGUUCAAGUCCAUUAAGAAGGGAGCCAAGGAAGAAGCAAGGGGAAGUUAGUACAGAAGAAAAAGCAAAAGCAAGAGCAAGUACUCCUAAGGGCAAGGGAGUAGUGAUCGGUGGAGUUUGAAGGUGCAGGAAGCGGACGAUCUUUUGUAUAUAUAUAUUUUGCUUAAAAUGCAUCUUAUUUUGAAGUGAAAAUAUAUUGUGUAUCUAUU